rnacentral:rRNA from 1 species
UACAGAGGUGGCAAGCGUUGUUCGGAAUUACUGGGCGUAAAGGGCGAGUAGGUGGCCAUCUAAGUCAGACGUGAAAUCUCCCGGCUUAACCUGGGAACUGCGUCUGAUACUGGACGGCUUGAGUAUGGGAGAGGAACGUAGAAUUCCAGGUGUAGCGGUGAAAUGCGUAGAUAUCGGAAGGAACAUCAGUGGCGAAAGCGACUUCCUGGACCAGUACCGACGUUCAGGCACGAAAGCGUGGGGAGCAAACAGG